AUCAUCAGUAAAUCAACUUCCCCUUACUUCUCUCUUACGUGCUUAAUCAUCAUACCGAAGAAAACGUGCCUUUUUUCGUGGGUUUCUAACAACGGAGUUUCACGUGCCCACAUCGUUCUUUAUGGCAAGUAAUCCGCCACUCCAAAACCUCCCAACACAUCAACAUAUUAAAAGUCUUUAAGAAACACAAGAUUCAAGGAGACGAAGGAGAAUUAAACGCUUCAUAGUUCAAUUUGGACGUAGCAAAGUUAUUUGUGUCGUGUAACAUCCCUUUAAAUGUUCUGGAUCAUCUCAAAGAGAGUAUUUACUGCUUUGUACGAAAUUCCCCUCCCUCUUCCAUCACCAAUUAUAACAAGAUAAGGAACUUGGUUAAAAGCAGUGGAGUACUUCUACCAUCUCUUCGACGUCUUCAGAGAAUAUUUAACCAGCCUUGACCGUGAUUUGACAGGAACCAGAACGGCACUAGAAUUAAUUCAUAAUGAUACGACUUAAGAGAAUAAGUCGUAUUUAUACAGGAAAUUUUUUGUCAAAUACCUUUACCAAUAACUGCACUUGCGGAAAGAUCGCCUCUUCUUACCAGUCUAACCAUACUAGAAAAUCUGACUCAAGAUUUGAAGGAAGAGCCAUACAAGACCAAGUUAAAAAAAAGUGCUUUAAAAGAAUCCUGGCUACACAAAACUAAAGGAACUCUCAACAAGCGAAAACCUUGUAUACAAAAAUACUCCAAUUGUGAGGCUGAGAGAGUCUUUAGUAAGAUGAAUAUCAUCAAUACAAAAAAGAGGUUCAAACUAAGUACUAAGAAAUUGAGGGAAUUGUUGAUCACGAAAUGGAAUGAAUGUUUUGUUAUCAUUUAAUUGUCAACACAUUUCGUGCCAAAGUUAUCUAUUCAUCCUUUAUGGCCAGGGGUCACAUAAAAGUUACGAGUACACUUCCUGUUAUGAUGGGUUUUAUGUUCUCUAACCAACAAUAUAUAUUUUG
rnacentral:lncRNA from 1 species